rnacentral:misc_RNA from 1 species
ACACACACACACACACAGUGGCAGAGGCCGUGUAGGUGGCGCACGUAUCGGGAAUAGCUGGCAGGGGAGGGACGGGGUGUGAGAGGAAGCCUGUGUAGUGUUCGUGUGACCCUCGUUGCUAAUACCACCAUCACCACCACCACCAUUAUACAGCGCCACACUCCCUGACCACAGAGGAAGGUGUAUCUAAACUGCUACCAGAGUGAACACUUAUUUCCUGGACAGGCGCGGGUCUCAGCUCAGGAUUUAUCAGUGUCAAGGAUAUCAGCGUGUGGGGCGAGGCAGCAUGACGGUCGGAAGUUAGGCAGCAAUUAUCGUGAUGCAGUGGAAGUGAAGGUGUCAGGCGCCGCCAUGGGUGCAGCGCGGCCCCGGGUUGUCAGCCUCCUGGCGGUGCUGGUGCCGGUGCUGCUGGUGCUGUUAGCUAGUCUCGUCACUGCUGCGCCUGACUAUGAGCAUCCGUGGGUGACCGCCCAAGGAUCAGCCUCGUCUGGGCAGCCUACCACCUCCUUUAACAUCACGGCAGCACUGGCAGGACUGGAGGAGAGCAAGGUGGUGUCGGAGGGGCCUCGUCUGGUGUCCCGUAGUUACUCCCGUCUCAUUCUGUCCAGGGGUUCCACGACGACUCUCAACUGCACUGUGAAGCAAGCUGGGGAUGUGGCAGUGUCCUGGGUGCGGGGAGAUGAAGUGCUGGCCAUGGGGAGGUACAAGUACACGAGUGACGAGCGGGUGGCGGUGCUGCAUGAGAUGGGAUCUAGCAACUACGGCCUGCGAGUGUCCCACCUGCAGCCUGAGGACUCUGCCAUAUAUGAGUGUCGGGUGAACACGGAGCCACAGCAGGUAGCCAAGGUGAAGCUGGUUGUCAUAGAUGCCUACUCGGUAAUCUUUGGCGCCUCGGAGGUGCGCGUGACGGCGGGAGGGACGCUGUACCUGCUGUGUCUGGUGCUGCAGGUGACAGACGUGCCAGAAUACAUCCUGUGGUACCACAACACAGACAUCAUUGAUUAUUCCAAGCACUCGAUCACAGUCAAGACUGAGGAAGAGACACGUUCCAGUGAGCUGCAGGUCCACAACAUCAGCUUCAGUGACGCUGGUAACUACACCUGCCACCCCUCCAAUGCCGCGCCCUCCUAUGUCAUGGUGCACGUCGCUAAUGAUACCAACAAGAGGUCUGGCAAGGCACAGAAGUGUGAUGACUGUGUGUUGUUCAUUCAGCUUGGUGCCACUUUUGCCUUCUUUUGCCUCAGUUUCCUGACAGCGUUCUGCAUACACAGCCACGACCACAGUGUGGAGGAGCCGCCAUCACUGGAUGACUAUGAUCAAUACUAUGAGUACUACAGUGAUGCCAAGUUGUUGUAAAACCAAACAGUAGUGGAGGCCAAGAUGAUAUUGAUGUUGAGAAGCCACACAAGAUGAAGCAACUGUCACAGGACUUGGUGGUGGCAUGACAUUGGGAACAGCCACAGCAUGCAGUGUUGAAGCCUGCUGGUUAAGAGAGCUUGUGAUGGGCAAAAAAAGUGAGUCCCCAGCAUUGCCUGCAUAAGUGUGGUGUGGAUUCACUUGUCUUGCAAGUUAUCUGCACCCAGCCUCUUGCCUGUUUAAGAUGCCCUCCCCUCCCUCUGUACCACCAUUGGAGAGGAUUAAGAAAGGGGCUCCCAUUGGUCAAAGAAACUCGGAUCACAGCUUACCAAGGUCCUAUAUACCAAUUGGACUUCAUCUUGCCUGCCUAGGAAACUGUAUUCUGCUUUCAACAUUCUUCUGUACAAAGUGGACCAUUGUCUGCCUGCUGAGGAUGUCCUUUUCCACUACUGAACAGGAUCAUGGAAGUGGCAUGCCUAACAAACCAGCCACCUUCCUGAGUGCAGUAAUUGGAUCAGCCUGGACAGUUCUACCUCACCAC